GGGAGCAGUUGGGCGCCUGGUGGGCCCCUCGGUCUUCAAAAUCGAUGGAACCUUAACGGGUUCGGUGGGUUCGAUUCCCAUGUGCUCCCGCCA
rnacentral:tRNA from 1 species